GCUAGUAACUUAAAGUUAAGCUUUAUAUUUCGGCUAUAAAUGAGGGUACUUUGUUAUAUCCUACUAGUU
rnacentral:tRNA from 1 species